UACGUAGGGAGCAAGCGUUGUCCGGAAUCAUUGGACGUAAAGCGUGCGUAGGCGGUUUGUUAAGUCUGUCGUGAAAGCCCCGGGCUCAACCUGGGAAUGGCGAUGAAAACUGGCGAGCUAGAGUACGGUAGAGGAGAGUGGAAUUCCCGGUGUAGCAGUGAAAUGCGUAGAGAUCGGGAGGAACAUCAGUUGCGAAGGCGGCUCUCUGGACCAGUACUGACGCUGAGGCACGAAAGCGUGGGGAGCAAACAGG
rnacentral:rRNA from 1 species